UACAGAGGGUGCGAGCGUUAAUCGGAAUUACUGGGCGUAAAGGGCGCGUAGGCGGUCUUGUAAGUCAGAUGUGAAAGCCCCGGGCUCAACCCGGGAAUAGCAUUUGAUACUGCGAGGCUUGAGUCCGGGAGAGGAUGGCGGAAUUCCCAGUGUAGAGGUGAAAUUCGUAGAUAUUGGGAAGAACACCGGUGGCGAAGGCGGCCAUCUGGACCGGUACUGACGCUGAGGCGCGAAAGCGUGGGGAGCAAACAGG
rnacentral:rRNA from 1 species